UCCUGCUCAAUGGUUAACUAAAUAGCCGCAGUACCCUGACUGUGCAAAGGUAGCAUAAUCAUUUGGCUUAUAAUUGAAGUCUGGCAUGAAGGGAUGCAUGGGAAAUAGCUGUCUCUUAGGGUUAGUCUGAAAUUACUUAGCAAGUGAAAAUACUUGCAAAUAAAUAAUAGACGAGAAGACCCUAGAAAUUUUCUAUAAAACAAUAAAUUAUUGGUGCUAUUUUGUUGGGGCGACAGAAUAACAAUAAACUUAUUUUAUUUAAUUGGAACUACAUGCUGAGGUAAAGUAAAUUACUCUAGGGAUAACAGCAUAAUCUAUUAGAGUUUGUGACCUCGAUGUUGGACUAGGGAUUUUAGUAUUUAGAAGACACUAAAACGUGCUCUGUUCGAGCGGGUUCCCCUACGUGAUCUGAGUUCAGACCGGA
rnacentral:rRNA from 1 species